CCUACGGGAGACAGCAGUGGGGAAUAUUGGACAAUGAGGGAAACCCUGAUCCAGCGACGCCGCGUGAGUGAAGAAGUAUUUCGGUACGUAAAGCUCUAUCAGCAGGAAAGAAAAUGACGGUACCUGACUAAGAAGCCCCGGCUAACUACGUGCCAGCAGCCGCGGGAAUACGUAGGGGGAAAGCGUUAUCCGGAUUUACUGGGUGUAAAGGGAGCGUAGACGGCAGCGCAAGUCUGGAGUGAAAUGCCGGGGCCCAACCCCGGAACUGCUCUGGAAACUGUGAAGCUGGAGGGCAGGAGAGGUAAGCGGAAUUCCUGGUGUAGCGGUGAAAUGCGUAGAUAUCAGGAGGAACACCGGCGGCGAAGGCGGCUUACUGGACUGUAACUGACGUUGAGGCUCGAAGGCGUGGGGAGCAAACAGGAUUAGAUACCCCAGUAGUC
rnacentral:rRNA from 1 species